rnacentral:rRNA from 1 species
CUUAUUAUGCCGGGAUUCUAACCUGGGUCCGUGAAGCCGGAUCAGGGACAUUGUCAGGUGGGUAGUUUGACUGGGGCGGUCGCCUCCUAAAAUGUAACGGAGGCGCCCGAAGGUUCCCUCAGGCUGAUUGGAAACCAGCCAUUGAGUGUAAAGGCAUAAGGGAGCUUAACUGCGAGACCUACAAGUCGAGCAGAUGCGAAAGCAGGGCUUAGUGAUCCGGCGGUUCUGAGUGGAAGGGCCGUCGCUCAACGGAUAAAAGGUACGCCGGGGAUAACAGGCUUAUCGCCCCCAAGAGUCCAUAUCGACGGGGCGGUUUGGCACCUCGAUGUCGGCUCAUCGCAUCCUGGGGCUGAAGCAGGUCCCAAGGGUUUGUCUGUUCGCCAAUUAAAGCGGUACGUGAGCUGGGUUUAAAACGUCGUGAGACAGUUUGGUCCCUAUCCGUCGUGGGCGUUGGAUAUUUGAGAGGAGCUGUCCCUAGUACGAGAGGACCGGGAUGGACGAACCGCUAGUGUUCUAGUUGUGGCGCCAGCCGCAUUGCUAGGUAGCUAUGUUCGGAACGGAUAACCGCUGAAAGCAUCUAAGCGGGAAGCCAACCUCAAGAUGAGAUAUCCCUUUUCUUUCGAUUUUAUCGGGAGAAACAGUAGACUCCUUGUAGACCACAAGGUUGAUAGGCUAGAUGUGUAAGUCCGGUAACGGAUUCAGCUAACUAGUACUAAUCAGUCGUGAGGCUUGACCAU